rnacentral:rRNA from 1 species
UACGUAGGGGGCAAGCGUUGUCCGGAAUCAUUGGGCGUAAAGAGCGUGUAGGCGGCCAGAAAAGUCCGCUGUGAAAACUCGAGGCUCAACUUCGAGCUGUCGGUGGAAACUUUCUGGCUAGAGUCCGGAAGAGGAGAAUGGAAUUCCUGGUGUAGCGGUGAAAUGCGCAGAUAUCAGGAAGAACACCCGUGGCGAAGGCGGUUCUCUGGGACGGUACUGACGCUGAGACACGAAAGCGUGGGUAGCAAACAGG